ACGGCUCAGUAACACGUGGACAACCUGCCCUUAGGUUGGGUAUAAACCCGGGAAACUGGGUAUAAUCUCCUAUAAGUCUCGGCUGCUGGAAUGCACCGAGAUUAAAAGCUCCGGCGCCUAAGGAUGGGUCUGCGGCCUAUCAGGUAGUAGUGGGUGUAGCGUACCUACUAGCCUACGACGGGUACGGGUUGUGAGAGCAAGAGCCCGGAGAUGGAUUCUGAGACACGAAUCCAGGCCCUACGGGGUGCAGCAGGCGCGAAAACUUUACAAUGCUGGCAACAGCGAUAAGGGAACCUCGAGUGCCAGGUUACAAAUCUGGCUGUCGAGAUGCCUAAAAAGCAUUUCAUAGCAAGGGCCGGGCAAGACCGGUGCCAGCCGCCGCGGUAACACCGGCGGCUCGAGUGGUAACCGUUAUUAUUGGGUCUAAAGGGUCUGUAGCCGGCCGGAUAAGUCUCUUGAGAAAUCUGGCAGCUUAACUGUCAGGCUUUCAGGAGAUACUGUCUGGCUCGAGGCCGGGAGAGGUGAGAGGUACUUCAGGGGUAGGGGUGAAAUCUUGUAAUCCUUGAAGGACCACCAGUGGCGAAGGCGUCUCACCAGAACGGACCUGACGGCAAGGGACGAAAGCUAGGGGCACGAACCGGAUUAGAUACCCGGGUAGUCCUAGCCGUAAACGAUACUCGCUAGGUGUCGGCCACGGUGCGACCGUUGUCGGUGCCGUAGGGAAGCCGUGAAGCGAGCCACCUGGGAAGUACGGCCGCAAGGCUGAAACUUAAAGGAAUUGGCGGGGGAGCACCACAACGGGUGGAGCUUGCGGUUUAAUUGGAUUCAACGCCGGAAAUCUUACCGGGACCGACAGCAAUAUGAAAGGCCAGGCUGAAGACUUUGCCGGAUUAGCUGAGAGGGAGGUGCAUGGCCAAUCACUAG
rnacentral:rRNA from 1 species